rnacentral:rRNA from 1 species
UGAAGAACGUAGCAAAAUGCGAUACUUGGUGUGAAUUGCAGAAUCCCGUGAACCAUCGAGUUUUUGGACGCAAGUUGCGCCCGAAGCCAUCCGGCCGAGGGCACGUCUGCCUGGGCGUCACGCAUC